CCUACGGUGUGCUGCAGUGGGGAAUAUUGCACAAUGGGGGAAACCCUGAUGCAGCGACGCCGCGUGAGUGAAGAAGUAUCUCGGUACGUAAAGCUCUAUCAGCAGGAAAGAAAAUGACGGUACCUGACUAAGAAGCCCCGGCUAACUACGUGCCAGCAGCCGCGGUAAUACGUAGGGGGCAAGCGUUAUCCGGAUUUACUGGGGGUAAAGGGAGCGUAGACGGCGCUGCAAGUCCGAAGUGAAAGCCCAUGGCUUAACCAUGGUACUGCUCUUGAAACUGUAGAGCUUGAGUGCGGGGGGGGCAGGCGGAAUUCCUAGUGUAGCGGUGAAAUGCGGAGAUAUUAGGAGGAACACCGGCGGCGAAGGCGGCCUGCUGGACCGUAACUGACGUUGAGGCUCGAAAGCGUGGGGAGCAAACAGGAUUAGAUACCCGGGUAGUC
rnacentral:rRNA from 1 species